CCUACGGGUGGCAGCAGUGGGGAAUAUUGCUCAAUGGGCGAGAGCCUGACGCAGCGACGCCGCGUGAGGGAUGAAGGUCUUCGGAUUGUAAACCUCUGUCAGCCGGGAAGAACAGUCACUGUGCUAAUCAGCAGUGAAUUGACGGUACCUGCAAAGGACGCACCAGCUAACUCCGUGACAGCAGCCGCGGUAAUACGGAGGGUGCGAGCGUUAAUCGGAAUUACUGGGCGUAAAGCGCUCGUAGCCGGGUUGACAAGUCAGAUGUUAAAUCCUGCGGCUUAACCGCAGAACUGCAUUUGAAACUGUUGAUCUUGAGUACUGGAGAGGGAGGCGGAAUUCCUGGUGUAGCGGUGAAAUGCGUAGAUAUUAGGAGGAACACCGGUGGCGAAGGCGGUCUGCUGGACAGCAACUGACGGUGAGGCGCGAAAGCGUGGGGAGCAAACAGGAUUAGAUACCCCGGUAGUC
rnacentral:rRNA from 1 species